AGAACGAACGCUGGCGGCAUGCCUAACACAUGCAAGUCGAACGUGAUCCAUGACUUCGGUUGUGGUGAAAGUGGCAAACGGGUGAGUAACGCGUGGGAAUCUGCCCAGAGGUAGGGAAUAACCGCGGGAAACUGCGGCUAAUACCCUAUGUGCCCUACGGGGCAAAGAUUUAUCGCCUUUGGAGGAGCCCGCGUCGGAUUAGGUAGUUGGUAGGGUAACGGCCUACCAAGCCUACGAUCCGUAGCUGGUCUGAGAGGAUGAUCAGCCACACUGGGACUGAGAUACGGCCCAGACUCCUACGGGAGGCAGCAGUGGGGAAUAUUGGACAAUGGGGGCAACCCUGAUCCAGCAAUGCCGCGUGAGUGAUGAAGGCCUUCGGGUUGUAAAGCUCUUUCGGCGGGGAAGAUGAUGACGGUACCCGCAGAAGAGCCCCGGCUAACUUCGUGCCAGCAGCCGC
rnacentral:rRNA from 1 species